ensembl:lncRNA
AUCUUUGUGGAGAUCCCUGUCUGCCUGAGGCCUUCUAAAGUCUUCACUUGGACCUGUUUGCAGAUGUUCUUUGCCACUGUCAGAAAUUCUUCACUUCUUUCAGCCUUGAGAAUAAUAGGUUUUCUUACCACCCUCAUCUUUGGCCCAUCUGUUCAAGGGUGCUAUGAACUCUUGUGACAUCUGAGACAGUCUAGAGACAGAACUGCUAUCUUCAUUUCUUGAGACCAAUUUUUGAAGAAUCCUCCUAUUUGCAUUUGUUUGUAAAACCCUUCCACUUUAGCAGAAGGAAAUGUAUUCUGGGGCUGUCUUAUUUCAGCGUGGAAACCAGUUCAUUGCAGUGCACGUGUGCCUUAUUUGUAAUGAGAUCUCUAUAACAUAAUGUAAUAACUGGGAGAUGGAUACAAAAUCUGCACUAGUUAUGUUAACCUUUCUCACCCUGACCUCCAUCAGCUUGAGAUCAAGAAGCAGCCUUGUCUGUUUCCAGUCCUGUGUCACCCUCUGAGUUAAUUUGUUUUAAAUUGUAUAGCAACAGCAUCUACUGUUUAAACAAAAAUCCCUUAGCCCAUGUCUUUAUUGCUUUUUUUUUCCUCCACUCUUGAAGCUAUUUGCAAUUAAACCUCAGUAAAAUAUGAAGCAUCAGAAAUGUUAAACUAUCUUGGCAGUGAAGAGGCAUGAAACAGAUGAAUAAUGAGAAGCAAAAGAUAAGCAGCAAUGCCACUUUCAUUCUGGAGUGCCUGUUCUGGAAUAGAGUUCAUGUCACUUCUUAUUAUUUCAUAUCCUAUUUAUGACUCACAGGAAUGAUUAAGAAAAAAUCCUGCUAAAGAACAGUCCUUAGAUUUCUGCUUAAAUUAUGGAAAUAAGAAACUUCAAGGCCUCUUUUCGCUGAAGAUUAAGGAGUAUCUAUUUGAGAUUUCCAGUGCACUUUGAGACUUGUGUGGAUAAAGGAGAGAGGGGCAGACCCAUGUAUUUUUCUUGGAUGUGCCAAUUUUGAGCAGUGUUUGAAUACAGCUGUGAC